rnacentral:rRNA from 1 species
GACGAACGCUGGCGGCGUGCCUAAUACAUGCAAGUCGAACGCAGUGGGGACGGGUGAGUAACACGGGGGUAACCUCCCAUCAGAGGGGAUAACACUUGGAAACAGGUGCUAAACCGAUACUGAUGGAUGAACCCGCGGUGCAUUAGCUAGUGGGUGGGCUAACGGCUCACCAAGGCCACGAUGCAUAGACAACCUGAGAGGCGGGUCGGCGACCCUGGGACGGAGACGCGGCCCAGAGUACUACGGGAGGCAGCAGUAGGGAACGUUCGGCAAUAGACGAAAGUCUGACCGAGCAGCGGCGCGUGAGUGAAGAAGGGUUUCGGAUCGUAAAACUCUGUUGUUAGAGAAACGGUACCUAACCAGAAAGCCACGGCUAACUACGUGCCAGCAGCCGCGGUAAUAC